rnacentral:tRNA from 1 species
GUAGGGGAACCUGCGGCUGGAUCACCUCCUUUCUAAGGAUGAUCCUUCAGAUCGCUCGCGCGUUCUAUCGGAUCGUUUUAGAAACAGUCAGGGGCCAACAGUUUCAGGAUUGUUGAGCUCCAUUGGCGGGAUUUCGCCGUCUUCGUUUCUCUUUCUUCGCGGACGAACACGCGCCAGGGGCUGAGCGCUUGAGCGAUGCACCGGCGCAAGUCGGCUGCGCGCCGGCAUGCCUCUCGUGUUAGGGGCUUGUAGCUCAGUUGGUUAGAGCGCGCGCUUGAUAAGCGUGAGGUCGGAAGUUCAAGUCUUCCCAGGCCCACCAUUUUGAUCGAGUGCGGAGCAUUCGUCUUCUGGUACGGGGCCAUAGCUCAGCUGGGAGAGCGCGUGCUUUGCAAGCAUGAGGUCGUCGGUUCGAUCCCGUCUGGCUCCACCAGAUGGAAUUGAAGCUCGAGAAUGCCUCGUUCAAAUCGUCCGCGAAACAUCACUUCGCACUCAUUGGUCCGGAUGGACGGUGACGUGCGUGUUUUCUGACAUCGUAAAGAGGAGAUCGAUCCGAGUUUGGAUCUGCGAAGCAAUUCGCGGGUACCAUUCAUAAUCUCCAGAUCGUUUUCGGCGCUCGCGCAUCGCAGCUCAUCGCAAGAUGAGUGAGAUGAGCGAGUUGUAAAACGAUCUUUUUAGCGAAGCUUGACCGCCUCGCUAUCGGGCCGAUCUUACGAAGCAAGCUGGUCUUUCUAAUCAAUGUCCGGCUGUGCAAUUGCAUUCAUCGAGGAUGCGCGCCUUAAGUGGCAGUUACACAGACAACAUUCUGCCGAGUGUGUGGACAUUGAUAAUGAGAGC